UCGCAAAGUAGAGUGCAAUCACAUAAGAUCCAAACAAACAAGGGUAAUAGAGGAAACAUCAUAACCAGUUGGUUGUGAUCUAUAUAUACAUUUUUAUGCAUUUUCAGAACUUACUUGGAUCAACUUCUGUGGAGCCUCAACUGCCCAAAAAAAGGCAUAUUUGACCCACACUAUACUAGAGUGGCAGAAGAUUCAUAUUAUAUUUGUUUAUGACAACAGUUAUAAUUCUUUUGACAGUCCUUACACCAUGCGCUUUCCGAUCAUACCAAAAUAGUUGACCAUAUUAACCGAAGUAUUAUUCAACAACUUGGCUACUCAAGAAGUUCACCUUCCAACCCAAGGUAUAGAAAAUGUAAAAUAUGACAAGAGUAAAGGGUCUUUGGCAGAGGUCAUUGUUGCACUCCAACCAUAAAUUGCAACAAAGCACCUGUACACUAUAAACCAGCAAAAGGCUUUUCUCAGCUGCCAAGAAGAACUCUCUUUGGGUCAAGCUGGCCACUGCAGUAACUUGAAGGAACAGCAGAAAGUUCCUGUCUUCCUCUCCACUCUUCACCAG
rnacentral:misc_RNA from 1 species